AUGCACCUUAUGACUGGGAGCUUCUUGAAUCUGGAGGGCAUCACCCCUGUUGAUGAUUCCAGAUAUAAUGCAGAGGAAAGCGACACACGUGCUGAUGUGGUGCCUGAGAUUGCUGAUGUUUGCUCCAAUGCUCCUGAACGAGAUGAUCCACCUGCAGGCCUUAUUAUCAGCAGGUCUUCUGGACCGGGUGCACUUUUGCAUCUUGGAAGGAAAAGAUCAUCAUGUACCUCAGUUGAACAUACAUGUUCUAGGCGCCUUAGUAGCAACAGUCAGAUGCCAGAUUUCACAGUUGUCCAAGGCAACAACCUCUCACUCCUUGGUCAAAUUGAUGCAGAUAUAGUGGAAGCGGAAUCUGAGUUUACUGAGGCUGAAGUGAGGAAAAGAUACCUGAAGCAUGUCGAGCCUCAGUUGUUGUCCAGAGGCCUCGUUCUCCCCGGGAAGCUGAGUCACAGUACAACAGCCUUUGUGCACCGCAGAACCCAAGAAAUUACUGGCCACAGGCCAAAAUACAUGAGCAUUCUCGAUGUUAUGGGACAUGAGAAAAGAAUGAAGGAGGAUGAAUGGCAUUUCUUCCUGAAGGAUAUGAUCAAGACAAGAGUGUACGUGGUUGAGAAUUGGAGCUCUUCCCUUUGCCGUGUCGUGUCUCUGACGUAUGAUUAUGGCAUCGUUAGUCCCGAUGAGGGUCCAGAUGUGGAAUUCUUCAAGGCGGAAUGUGACGCAGCCUACUGUGAGAAGAAGCAGCAGGCUGAGUUGUCAUUUUUUAUCUUUAAAGGAAAGCAGAUAAUUCAUUGUCAGGUUCAUCAUGAGGUGCCCUGCAGGUCUUCUGUGGUGGCAGAAUGCUAUGCGGCUGCUGCUUGUCUUAUAAAAGCCAAGGAACUUGGAAUAGAGAACCUCGUCAUAUACAUGGACUGCAAAGAUUCCCAUGGCGUUUUAAGUGGUGAGCGGAAUAUUAGACCUGAUGAUGUAAACAUGGGAGUUUUUCUGAUGUUGAAAAAACAUCAAAACGCCCUUGAAAGGGUGGUGCCUGUGUGGAAGGAGCGUGAGCUUAACCAACUCGCGGAUGAUCUUGUAACACUCGACCCGAGAACCACCCUUGAUCCUAUGUUCCCACAGCAAGCGAUGGAGAGAUGGAAGCAUCCCCUGGAGGGUUAUCCAGUGUUCAGAUAUAAGCAAAAAAACGAAGUUGAAACCAUCACCAGAGGAUUUGUCUUCUCAACCAAGAAAACAGUACAAGCACAUAAAAUCCUACAAGAACGGAGCAUUGCAUUGACCAUAUUGUGUAAUUAUUAUAACCAAUAUCUCCAAGAAGCAAAAUAUUUCCUACUUACUCAUUGGGGUUAUAAAAUUUAUAUUGUUGGUAAAUUUGAUUGUUUGGCUGGCUUGCUCGAUGGGUUUGAUCCGGACGACCUGUAUGUGUCUGCCAUGAGUUUGCCAAAAAGCCCAAAGACCUCCAGUUGA
rnacentral:rRNA from 1 species